CCUUGGCAUUCCAAAGCGCUGGGAUUACAGAACAACACUGGCAACAUUUCCUGGACGCUUAUUGUAUGUCUCCUCCAAAGAUGAUGAGCACAGCAGGAAGGAGAUGUCAGCCAUAGGUGGAUGCAAGGGAAGGGGGAUGCAGAAUUGGUCUUCAGGAACUGUUUUGGGUGCUGUGGUGCAAAGGUGACCAAGAGCAUAAAAAGGAGUGAAGUCCUGUCACAUGCUAUAAUGUGAAUGUGCCUUGAAAACAUGGUGCUAAGUGAAAGAAGCCAGACACAAAAGUCACA